UAUAUACUUCCUCUGUCCGGAAAUGCUUGCUGGAGAAAUGGAUGUAUCUAGAAGUAUUUCUAGAUACAUCCAUUUUUAUCCAUUUCCCCGACAAGUAUUUUUGGAAGAAGGGAGUACUUU
rfam:Triticum aestivum genome assembly, contig: Triticum_aestivum_CS42_TGACv1_scaffold_579597_7BL